rnacentral:rRNA from 2 species
GGUUAAGCGACUAAGCGUACACGGUGGAUGCCCUGGCAGUCAGAGGCGAUGAAGGACGUGCUAAUCUGCGAUAAGCGUCGGUAAGGUGAUAUGAACCGUUAUAACCGGCGAUUUCCGAAUGGGGAAACCCAGUGUGUUUCGACACACUAUCAUUAACUGAAUCCAUAGGUUAAUGAGGCGAACCGGGGGAACUGAAACAUCUAAGUACCCCGAGGAAAAGAAAUCAACCGAGAUUCCCCCAGUAGCGGCGAGCGAACGGGGAGCAGCCCAGAGCCUGAAUCAGUGUGUGUGUUAGUGGAAGCGUCUGGAAAGGCGCGCGAUACAGGGUGACAGCCCCGUACACAAAAAUGCACAUACUGUGAGCUCGAUGAGUAGGGCGGGACACGUGGUAUCCUGUCUGAAUAUGGGGGGACCAUCCUCCAAGGCUAAAUACUCCUGACUGACCGAUAGUGAACCAGUACCGUGAGGGAAAGGCGAAAAGAACCCCGGCGAGGGGAGUGAAAAAGAACCUGAAACCGUGUACGUACAAGCAGUGGGAGCACGCUUCGGCGUGUGACUGCGUACCUUUUGUAUAAUGGGUCAGCGACUUAUAUUCUGUAGCAAGGUUAACCGAAUAGGGGAGCCGAAGGGAAACCGAGUCUUAACUGGGCGUUAAGUUGCAGGGUAUAGACCCGAAACCCGGUGAUCUAGCCAUGGGCAGGUUGAAGGUUGGGUAACACUAACUGGAGGACCGAACCGACUAAUGUUGAAAAAUUAGCGGAUGACUUGUGGCUGGGGGUGAAAGGCCAAUCAAACCGGGAGAUAGCUGGUUCUCCCCGAAAGCUAUUUAGGUAGCGCCUCGUGAAUUCAUCUCCGGGGGUAGAGCACUGUUUCGGCAAGGGGGUCAUCCCGACUUACCAACCCGAUGCAAACUGCGAAUACCGGAGAAUGUUAUCACGGGAGACACACGGCGGGUGCUAACGUCCGUCGUGAAGAGGGAAACAACCCAGACCGCCAGCUAAGGUCCCAAAGUCAUGGUUAAGUGGGAAACGAUGUGGGAAGGCCCAGACAGCCAGGAUGUUGGCUUAGAAGCAGCCAUCAUUUAAAGAAAGCGUAAUAGCUCACUGGUCGAGUCGGCCUGCGCGGAAGAUGUAACGGGGCUAAACCAUGCACCGAAGCUGCGGCAGCGACACUAUGUGUUGUUGGGUAGGGGAGCGUUCUGUAAGCCUGUGAAGGUGUACUGUGAGGUAUGCUGGAGGUAUCAGAAGUGCGAAUGCUGACAUAAGUAACGAUAAAGCGGGUGAAAAGCCCGCUCGCCGGAAGACCAAGGGUUCCUGUCCAACGUUAAUCGGGGCAGGGUGAGUCGACCCCUAAGGCGAGGCCGAAAGGCGUAGUCGAUGGGAAACAGGUUAAUAUUCCUGUACUUGGUGUUACUGCGAAGGGGGGACGGAGAAGGCUAUGUUGGCCGGGCGACGGUUGUCCCGGUUUAAGCGUGUAGGCUGGUUUUCCAGGCAAAUCCGGAAAAUCAAGGCUGAGGCGUGAUGACGAGGCACUACGGUGCUGAAGCAACAAAUGCCCUGCUUCCAGGAAAAGCCUCUAAGCAUCAGGUAACAUCAAAUCGUACCCCAAACCGACACAGGUGGUCAGGUAGAGAAUACCAAGGCGCUUGAGAGAACUCGGGUGAAGGAACUAGGCAAAAUGGUGCCGUAACUUCGGGAGAAGGCACGCUGAUAUGUAGGUGAAGUCCCUCGCGGAUGGAGCUGAAAUCAGUCGAAGAUACCAGCUGGCUGCAACUGUUUAUUAAAAACACAGCACUGUGCAAACACGAAAGUGGACGUAUACGGUGUGACGCCUGCCCGGUGCCGGAAGGUUAAUUGAUGGGGUUAGCGGUAACGCGAAGCUCUUGAUCGAAGCCCCGGUAAACGGCGGCCGUAACUAUAACGGUCCUAAGGUAGCGAAAUUCCUUGUCGGGUAAGUUCCGACCUGCACGAAUGGCGUAAUGAUGGCCAGGCUGUCUCCACCCGAGACUCAGUGAAAUUGAACUCGCUGUGAAGAUGCAGUGUACCCGCGGCAAGACGGAAAGACCCCGUGAACCUUUACUAUAGCUUGACACUGAACAUUGAGCCUUGAUGUGUAGGAUAGGUGGGAGGCUUUGAAGUGUGGACGCCAGUCUGCAUGGAGCCGACCUUGAAAUACCACCCUUUAAUGUUUGAUGUUCUAACGUUGACCCGUGAUCCGGGUUGCGGACAGUGUCUGGUGGGUAGUUUGACUGGGGCGGUCUCCUCCUAAAGAGUAACGGAGGAGCACGAAGGUUGGCUAAUCCUGGUCGGACAUCAGGAGGUUAGUGCAAUGGCAUAAGCCAGCUUGACUGCGAGCGUGACGGCGCGAGCAGGUGCGAAAGCAGGUCAUAGUGAUCCGGUGGUUCUGAAUGGAAGGGCCAUCGCUCAACGGAUAAAAGGUACUCCGGGGAUAACAGGCUGAUACCGCCCAAGAGUUCAUAUCGACGGCGGUGUUUGGCACCUCGAUGUCGGCUCAUCACAUCCUGGGGCUGAAGUAGGUCCCAAGGGUAUGGCUGUUCGCCAUUUAAAGUGGUACGCGAGCUGGGUUUAGAACGUCGUGAGACAGUUCGGUCCCUAUCUGCCGUGGGCGCUGGAGAACUGAGGGGGGCUGCUCCUAGUACGAGAGGACCGGAGUGGACGCAUCACUGGUGUUCGGGUUGUCAUGCCAAUGGCACUGCCCGGUAGCUAAAUGCGGAAGAGAUAAGUGCUGAAAGCAUCUAAGCACGAAACUUGCCCCGAGAUGAGUUCUCCCUGACCCUUUAAGGGUCCUGAAGGAACGUUGAAGACGACGACGUUGAUAGGCCGGGUGUGUAAGCGCAGCGAUGCGUUGAGCUAACCGGUACUAAUGAACCGUGAGGCUUAACCUUACAACGCCGAAGCUGUUUUG